UACGGAGGGUGCAAGCGUUAAUCGGAUUUAUUAGGCGUUAAGGGUAUGUAGGCGGACUGCCAAGUCAGGUGUGAAAGUCUGGGGCUCAACCUCAGAAUUGCAUUUGAAACUAGCAAUCUAGAGUUCAUUCGGAGAAACUAGAAUUCCACGUGUAGCGGUGAAAUGCGUAGAUAUGUGGAGGAAUACCAGUGGCGAAAGCGGGUUUCUAGUAUGGACUGACGCUGAGAUACGAAAGCAAGGGGAGCAAACAGG
rnacentral:rRNA from 1 species